rnacentral:rRNA from 1 species
GUGGGGAAUUUUGGACAAUGGGCGAAAGCCUGAUCCAGCCAUGCCGCGUGCAGGAUGAAGGCCUUCGGGUUGUAAACUGCUUUUGUACGGAACGAAAAGACUCCUUCUAAUAAAGGGGGUCCAUGACGGUACCGUAAGAAUAAGCACCGGCUAACUACGUGCCAGCAGCCGCGGUAAUACGUAGGGUGCAAGCGUUAAUCGGAAUUACUGGGCGUAAAGCGUGCGCAGGCGGUUAUAUAAGACAGAUGUGAAAUCCCCGAGCUCAACCUGGGAACUGCAUUUGUGACUGUAUAGCUAGAGUACGGUAGAGGGGGAUGGAAUUCCGCGUGUAGCAGUGAAAUGCGUAGAUAUGCGGAGGAACACCGAUGGCGAAGGCAAUCCCCUGGACCUGUACUGACGCUCAUGCACGAAAGCGUGGGGAGCAAACAGGAUUAGAUACCCUAGUAGUCC